UACGAAGGGGGCUAGCGUUGCUCGGAGUCACUGGGCGUAAAGCGCACGUAGGCGGAUUGCUAAGUCAGGGGUGAAAUCCCGGAGCUCAACUCCGGAACUGCCUUUGAUACUGGCGAUCUUGAGUCCGGGAGAGGUGAGUGGAACUGCGAGUGUAGAGGUGAAAUUCGUAGAUAUUCGCAAGAACACCAGUGGCGAAGGCGGCUCACUGGCCCGGUACUGACGCUGAGGUGCGAAAGCGUGGGGAGCAAACAGG
rnacentral:rRNA from 1 species